GAUAUUUGAGUGUAAAAGUGGGAGGAUAAGAAUAAAAUAUUGAGAGAAGAUGAAGACAAAUAAUUAGGAAACAAAAAAGAUACAGAGAAAUAAUAAUCAAUAGAUAAUAAUUUUAAAAAUAACUCCAUCUACUUAUACAGUUUAUUAUACAGAAACAAAUCAAGGUGCUAAUAUCAAUAAACAUCAACAUUCAAUGACCAAAUACCACUCUAAUUUUAGAUCAAAAAAUUCGCAUAUAGAUGUUGUAAGGGAGAGUAUUUUAUAUUUAUAUAAUACAAAAACACUACCAAUAUUAAUUACGAAAAAUCCCCUGUAUCGACAAUGUAUCGUCAUAAAUACUAUAAUCCCGCAACUGGAAAUUAACGUCUUCCGAGCAAUCCUGGAAUAGUCCCCCCCAAUAUUCCCUUGCCAUAAAACGAACUAAAAAUAACAAAUAUCAUGAAACAAAAACACAGAAAAUCAAUAAGUAAACGCAUUAAAGAUUUUCUCCUGGGAUUUUAUGAACUGCAAUGUAGAUACUGAAGGAGAAGGGGGGGGGGGCGCGAAUACGCAGUGGCGCGUGUGGUUUAAUUAGAAGCAACGCGAAGAGCCUUAACAGGUCUUGACAUCCUUUGCCCACUCUGGAGACAGAGCUUCCCCUUCGGGGGCAAAGUGACAGGUGGUGCAUGGUUGUCGUCAGCUCGUGUCGUGAGAUGUUGGGUUAAGUCCCGCAACGAGCGCAACCCUUGACCUUAGUUGCCAGCAUUUAGUUGGGCACUCUAAGGUGACUGCCGGUGACAAACCGGAGGAAGGUGGGGAUGACGUCAAAUCAUCAUGCCCCUUAUGACCUGGGCUACACACGUGCUACAAUGGAUGGUACAAAGGGUUGCGAAGCCGCGAGGUGAAGCCAAUCCCAUAAAGCCAUUCUCAGUUCGGAUUGUAGGCUGCAACUCGCCUGCAUGAAGCUGGAAUUGCUAGUAAUCGCGGAUCAGCAUGCCGCGGUGAAUACGUUCCCGGGCCUUGUACACACCGCCCGUCACACCACGAGAGUUUGUAACACCCGAAGUCGGUGAGGUAACCUUUGGAGCCAGCCGCCGAAGAU
rnacentral:rRNA from 2 species